rnacentral:rRNA from 1 species
UUUUAGUUUGCCCUCCCGAAACUAAGUGAGCUACUUUAAGAUAGCCCUAGAGCUAACCCGUCUCUGUUGCAAAAGAGUGGGAAAAUCCUAAAGUAGAGGUGAUAUACCUAUCGAACUUAGAGAUAGCUGGUUUUUUAAGAAAAGAAUUUUAGUUCUACUUUAAAUUUUAUAUUAAACAAAAAUAUACCUAAAUUUAAAAGCUACUCAAAUAAGGCACAGCUUAUUUGAAAUAGGAUACAACCUAGACCUCAGGGUAAGAUAAAUUAAAUUUUGAUAAGUGGGCCUAAAAGCAGCCAUCUUUCAAAAAGCGUCAUAGCUUAGUAAGCACAAUUUGACUAAUACCAGUACUCACCUCUAACCCUUAUACACUAUUAAAAACCCCAUAAUAUUAUGGAAGCUACUAUGCUAGAACAAGUAACAAGAAAAAGACUUUCUCCAAAAAUGUAAGCUUAAGCCAUAAUAGACCUGCUACUGGCAAUUAACACCCAUA